rnacentral:rRNA from 1 species
UGCCAGCAGCCGCGGUAAUACGGAGGGUGCGAGCGUUAAUCGGAAUUACUGGGCGUAAAGCGCGCGUAGGUGGUUAAUUAAGUCAGAUGUGAAAUCCCAGGGCCCAACCUGGGAACUGCGCUUAAGACUGGAGAGCUAGAAAACGGAAGAGGGUAGUGGAAUUCCCAGUGUAGAGGUGAAAUUCGUAGAUAUUGGGAAGAACACCAGUGGCGAAAGCGGCUACCUGGUCCGGAUUUGACGCUGAGGCGCGAAAGCGUGGGGAGCAAACAGGAUUAGAUA